UUUCUUCCCUAUCCCAGAGGGAUAGAGGGGCAACAAGGAUGACGUCUCUAAUUGGCUAUUCACAAGAUCUUACAGGAAAUUUUAUUUCAUUUUUAUGAAAAUCAUGGCUUAGAAAAUAAACACCCCAUACCAUCCAGAACAAAAUGCUGUCUGGCCACAGCACCAUCUUUGUCCAAGCUGAAGCACAGCUUGCAGCAUGAAAACAGAGAGGAGGGGAGUGCAGAGCAACCUGCAGUGAUUGGAUGAAGAGGAGUCAUGCAGAAUGAGGGACAAGCCAAGUGAGCAACAAAUAGAAGAAAUGCAAGCACUGUGCCAAACCAAGUUGAAAAAAAGCUUGUAGAGAUCUCUUUUAAGGCCAUGCCCUAGCUGCAAUUAUGCCAAGAUCCUGUUAGACAUUUAGGCUGUAUCUAUGGACUACGGACAGACUUUCCAGAGCUAACCGUAACCAGAGCCCCCCAACCUGUGGUCUACCAACCUGC